rnacentral:rRNA from 1 species
AGUGAACGCUGGCGGCGUGCCUAAUACAUGCAAGUCGAGCGAAUGGAUUAAGAGCUUGCUCUUAUGAAGUUAGCGGCGGACGGGUGAGUAACACGUGGGUAACCUGCCCAUAAGACUGGGAUAACUCCGGGAAACCGGGGCUAAUACCGGAUAACAUUUUGAACCGCAUGGUUCGAAAUUGAAAGGCGGCUUCGGCUGUCACUUAUGGAUGGACCCGCGUCGCAUUAGCUAGUUGGUGAGGUAACGGCUCACCAAGGCAACGAUGCGUAGCCGACCUGAGGGGGGGAUCGGCCACCCGGGGACUGAGACACGGCCCAGACUCCUACGGGAGGCAGCAGUAGGGAAUCUUCCGCAAUGGACGAAAGUCUGACGGAGCAACGCCGCGUGAGUGAUGAAGGCUUUCGGGUCGUAAAACUCUGUUGUUAGGGAAGAACAAGUGCUAGUUGAAUAAGCUGGCACCUUGACGGUACCUAACCAGAAAGCCACGGCUAACUACGUGCCAGCCGCCGCAGUAA